CUGACACGGAGCAGGGGGGCCAGCCGGCAAUCGUGCAGUGCUGGCCCCAAACUGGGAGCCCCACGUACCACAGGGCCCGCGGAGAAGGGGCCGUCACAGGACCACGGCUGCAAAGGCAGAUGGCCACAUCAGCCGGAGCUGCACGGAUCCGAAGCCAGGAGCCAGGAGCUUCUUCCAGGUCUCCUACGCAGAUGCAGAGGCCCAAGGACUUGGGCCAUCUUCUACUGCUUUCCCAGGCCAUAGCAGAGAGCUGGAUCAGAAGAGGAGCAGCCGGAUCUCAACCAGCGCCCACAUGGGAUGCCAGCACUGCAGGCGGUGGCUUUACCCGCUACACCACAGUGCUGACCCCUGAAGUGGGUUCUCAAUUUCUGCCUCCCUCACUUCUGUGGGUCCCCGAGGGGCCCAGCCCACUCCUGGAAGAAACCUGCCAACUAA